AUUGAACGCUGGCGGCAGGCCUAACACAUGCAAGUCGAACGAGUGGCGGACGGGUGAGAAAUGUCUGGGAAACUGCCCGAUGGAGGGGGAUAACUACUGGAAACGGUAGCUAAUACCGCAUACCAUCGGAUGUGCCCAGAUGGGAUUAGCGAGUAGGGGGGGUAACGGCUCACCUAGGCGACGAUCCCUAGCUGGUCUGAGAGGAUGACCAGCACAACUGGAACUAGGACACGGUCCAGACUCCUACGGGAGGCAGCAGUGGGGAUUAUUGCACAAUGGGCGCAAGCCUGAUGCAUCCAUGCCGCGUGUAUGAGGAAGGCCUUCGGGUUGUAAAGUACUUUCAGCGAGGAGGCGUUACUCGCAGAAGAAGCUUCGGCUAACUCCGUGCCAGCAGCCGCGGUAAUUC
rnacentral:rRNA from 1 species